GGAGUAACACUUCCGGUAGAGCCUGGCUACAACUUCCGCUAACUGAAUUAAUCAAAACAUCAGCUGUUGUGGGUAAGAUGGCGCACAGUCUGGCAGACUUGGAUGUUCCCAUGGACGCCGACCAGCCUGGAGAAUUCGGAAAGGAGGUUCUGAGGCGCUGCAGAGGACGACCCAGACUCACGGACUCCGACCGGGCACAGAGGCGCCUUGAAUCCAGAAAGAAGUACGAUGUGAGGCGGGUAUAUCUGGGAGAGUCGCACAAACUGUGGAGUGAGCUUCGCAGAAGGACCAGUCUGAGUGAUGCCGGACUGGCCGAGUACCUGAUCCUGCUCAACUCCACAUACGGAGAGAAGUAUCUGCAGAAGUACAACAGAAAGAAGACUCUGUCAGAGGGCUUAGAAAAACUGAAAAAAGGUCGGAGGGAUCGUAGUUCCAGCCUGAGGAAUCUAGUGUAUUGGUACCUGGAACAUUCCGGCUACUGCCCCCACGAGCCGCAGCUCAAAGCUCUGGAGCCCCAGCCCAACCUGUCCACCGCUGCUGUGUGGCAGUGUCAAUCAAACCACUCUUUUGUGCAAUACCUUUUCUCACCACUGAGAGGGGCCAGUGAAUCUGAGCAGGAGGAGGAUGUGAACGGAGACAGCGACGCUGCAAAGGCAGAUCUCCUGAUAUCAAGCAGCCGCAGAAAGAAGAGUAGAGACGAAAACAAACAGUUCAAAGAUGUGGAAGAAAACGUUUCCGAGGAUCAACGAACCACAGCCAGCCCCGUCACAGAUGUCACAGACACGCCCUCCAAGGAUGCUCCUCUGAUUGGUCAGCCUGUGUGGGAGGUGGAGAUGCUGACGGAGCGACAGCAAGGAUCUCCAACGUCAGCGUUCCACUCCAUCCCUUCAGACGAGGACACUGAGGACGUGAGGACAGACAUGGACCUGGUGGAGGAGGAAGAAAUCAGGACUUCACCUGAGGAGCUGAAGAAGACCGGUGAGGAGUCGCAGCUGGAGCUGGAGGUUGAGCCGCAGCUGACAGUCCCAGCAGCACCUCUGCAGGUCCCGGAGCAGAGCGAACUUUUUGAAGCUCAGGCCGUGCAGAGCUGUGACAUCACAGAUCAGAGGACGGCGUUGGAGGGAUCCCAGUUAAUUAUCAUCACUGGCUCCAGCUACGAGGCUCUGGCCACAGAGGGGAUCCAGCUCAACAUGAGCGGUGGAAACAUAGAGGAAGUCACAUGCACCGUCAUCGGGGGAGUCAACUACGACCAGGUGUGUCCUCAUGACUCCGGGAUCAAACCGGCAGAGGACGAGGACUCGGUGACCGGUUUAAGUACCAAACAGCUGCAGCCAGCCGACGUCGACCCACUGGAGCUGAGUGACGACAGGGAGCGGCAGAAGAGCAGUAGCCACCGCUCAAAACGGAACAGACGGGGUCCGGUCAUCGAGGCUGAUGGGAUGCUGAAGAUGUUCCACUGUCCGUACGAGGGCUGCAGCCAGGUGUACGUAGCCAUCAGCAGCUUCCAGAAUCACGUCAACCUAGUUCACAGGAAGGGCAGAACCAAAGUCUGCCCCCAUCCAGGCUGUGGCAAAAAGUUUUACCUGUCCAACCACCUGCAUCGUCACAUGAUCAUCCACUCAGGGGUGAGGGAUUUCAUCUGUGAGACGUGUGGGAAAUCGUUCAAGAGGAAGAAUCAUCUGGAGGUUCACAGACGGACGCACACGGGAGAAACGCCGCUGCAGUGUGAAAUCUGCGGCUACCAGUGUCGCCAGCGGGCGUCGCUGAACUGGCACAUGAAGAAACACACGUCUGAGGCGCACUACAACUUCACCUGCGACUUCUGCGACAAACGCUUCGAGAAGCUGGACAGCGUCAAGUUCCACAAGCUGAAGAGUCACCCGGACAAGCAGACCACCUGAGGCUCACUGCAGAGCUGACGAAGACACCGACGAAAGGCUUCCAGUAGAGGGAGCUGUUGUUGUUUCAUCACCUCCAGGAAGUCAAGGAUUGACCUGGAGAAACGCCAAAUAAUGUGAGGCUUUGUACUGUGCUGAACACACACACACACACGAAUGAUCAGAAUUGUAAUGUGACGAUCGUGGGUUCGAAUCCCGGCCCGUCUGCUGCAGUGUGUCUGGUGGUGAAAUGUGGGGAAAACAGUUUGGAAAUGAAUGGAGGCCUGGACUGAGCUCAGGUCUGUGGGGGGGAGGGUCUGUGUUAGAAUGACUGACAGCUGGACUGUCCAAUAGGAGUCUGCUUCCAUCAGACGUCACUGAUAUUUUUUCUCAGUAUGAAUUUAAAUCCUCCAAGUGUUUUAGGUUGGCGUAACAGUAAUUACAAAGGUUUUAUCUGGGUGCAUACAUUUACUAGUCAAAGGUUUGUGAAAGGUCUCAUCG